CUAGGGGUCCCUUCUGUCCUCUGGGGCCUGGACACUGGUCCCUGCCCACUUCCCGCCUACCUUCCAGCUGAGCCUCCGGGCUGCACCCCAAGAACGACCCGUCGGCGACGGACCCGGCAGCGCAGAGAAAGGCUAUGUGAGGACAUAACCAGGAGCAGGGCCCUCACCGAGAUCUCCGCUGUCCUGGCACCCUGAUCUCACGCUUCCACCCUCCAGGAUCAUGAGAAAGAAAUGUUUGUUGUUUCAGCCACCCAGUCUGCAGUAUUUUUACAGCAGCCUGAGCUGACUCAAUCAGCUUUACUGAGUAUAACUAACAUGCAACAAACCACACACAUUUCAAGUGUACAAUCUGAUGAGUUUUCACAUCCUGUAACCCAGCACCACGAUCAAGAUACUGAACAUCUCCACCAUCUCAAGAGAAUUAUCACGAAGGUUCGUCUAUGUUGCUGUAGUUGAGCCCCUUUUGCUCAUGAGGGAACUGAGGCGCAGAGAGGUGUGGCUUGGGGGCGCGAGGAGGAGGCGGUGUCACACAGGUUUGGCCCCAGAGCGUCGCUCGUCCGGGGGCGCAGGCCGCCGAGGGGCGCUCUGGCGGGUGGGACGCGGCAGGUGCACACACGCGCGGGGCCGCCCCCUGGCCGGCCUUCCCCAGAGCACCGCCGGGGGCGGGCCCGGGGCGGGCCGGGGGCGGGGCUUCCCGGCUCUGGGGCCUCCGAUAAGGGCCUGGGGGGGGGACUCGGGCGCGCCUGGGCGCUGCG